UCCGCGUGAGUGAAGAAGGCCUUCGGGUUGUAAAGCUCUUUCGGCAGGAACGAAACGGUCUUUUCUAAUACAAGAGGCUAAUGACGGUACCUGAAGAAGAAGCACCGGCUAACUACGUGCCAGCAGCCGCGGUAAUACGUAGGGUGCGAGCGUUAAUCGGAAUUACUGGGCGUAAAGCGUGCGCAGGCGGCUCUAUAAGACAGAUGUGAAAUCCCCGGGCUUAACCUGGGAACUGCGUUUGUGACUGUAGGGCUAGAGUGCGGCAGAGGGGGGUAGAAUUCCACGUGUAGCAGUGAAAUGCGUAGAGAUGUGGAGGAAUACCGAUGGCGAAGGCAGCCCCCUGGGUCGACACUGACGCUCAUGCACGAAAGCGUGGGGAGCAAACAGGAUUAGAUACCCUGGUAGUCCACGCCCUAAACGAUGCGAACUAGGUGUUGGGGAAGGAGACUUCCUUAGUACCGCAGCUAACGCGUGAAGUUCGCCGCCUGGGGAGUACGGUCGCAAGAUUAAAACUCA
rnacentral:rRNA from 1 species